rnacentral:tRNA from 4 species
GGGGCUGUAGCUCAAUCGGGAGAGCGUCUGACUGGCAGUCAGAAGGUAGUGGGUUCGAAUCCCAUCAGCUCCACCA